ensembl:lncRNA
UGUGUCACUGUUUGGGUUCCACGCGGAGCUGCAGUCAAUAUGCCAUGAUAAACCGUAAUGGAAAAGAAUCUGGAAAAGAACGUGUGACCCUGGUGAUCCAGUGGGUAAGAACCUGCCGUGCAAAGCGAGGGACGCCAGUUUGAUCCCUGGUCCGGGAAGAUCCCGCGUGCCGCAGGGCAAACUAAGCCACGCCUCACAACUCCUGAGCCCGCGCGCCCUGGAGCCUGAGCGCCACAACGAGAGGAGCCACUGCAGUGAGAGGCCCUCGCACGGAAACUGGAGAGGAGCCCCCGGCUCGAGAAGGGCCACUGGCAGCAAGGAGGACCAGCGCAGCCAAAGAAAGGAGCAGGAAACACACACACGACAGAGUCGCUCUGCGGCACAGAAGUGAACACAGCAUCGUAAACCAGCUUCAACAAAACUUUUUAAAAAGACUUCUGGGCUCUGCCACUUUGAAGUUGAACUGCAGGAAGACCUCCGUAUGAGAUGAAAAUGUCUUGCCAACUGAUAAAGAAUUGCGGAUCCAGCUGAAAUCCACUCAGUCAUAGGGAUUAACCAGCCUGAGAAGGUUUGUUUGGGUGGAAGGCUGAGUUGAAAAACAGGAGGUUUGGAUUCAAUCAAAAACGAACAGAGAACUCUAAUCACCCAGCACCCACCUCCAUCUCACCCAGGGGUGCCCAGGCAGGCUGGGAGGGCACCCACCUCCCAGUUCACAAAGAUCUUUGCUCUCACAGCAAUUUCCCUCUACAUGGCAAUUCUUAAACUUCGUAGGGCAUGUGUGUAUCCAAAGAGCUUGUUCCCUGCAUUGCCGUGGAGUCUUAUUUGCACAGACUCACCAGCUGCUCCCGUUUAGUGGCUUAAAAAAUGGUCUUGGUAGUGACUGCAAUGGUCUCCAGACACAGAGGCCGCUACAGCUUGAGACUUGAUCUUGACACACUCAUUCGGUUCCCUACUUUUUCCCCCAAGGCUCGAGGUUCAUCCACCUUGCUAGAACUGACUCAAAUUUGCUCCUUUUAUGGCUGAGUACUAUUCCUUUGUAUAUAUGUACCACAACUUCUUCAUCCAUUCAUCUGUUGACGGACAUUGAGGUUGCUCACUCUUAUCUGUGGUUCCGAUGACAUCUUGCCAAAAUGCAGGUCCAACAGGAUCCCUGGGGGACACUGGAGCUUUAUCACUCUGCCUGUAAAGACCAGUUUCCAGAUCCCUUUCGCAUUUCGUCUCUGAAGCGCAGCAGGCAGGACAGGGCAGGUGAAGGCUGCCAACGGCCACCCACCAGGCUGCGCCUGAACACAGCCCAGUGGUACAGACUUCCCUCAGCCCAUGGCUGGACCAGUCACAUCCUUUGAGCUCCUCAGAAAGGCUGAGUGAGAGACGCAGAGGAGGGCAUUACUCAGAUCAGCUUUGUCCUUAUCCAGGAGCCCUCAUGGCUCAGCAAUGCCCAGUCAGUGUCCCCCACCCGGGGCAGGCUGGUGAUGGAGCUGAUGGCGGCAGACUCUCCCGCUGGAGGGCCUGUGUGCUGCGGACUGAGGCCCGCUGGAUAGAACCCUACCUCGGGUCUUGGAGCCCCGGCUGCUCCCCUGUGGGGGCGCGGCUUACAGCCUGGGCCUGAAGCGUGGUCUGCAGGCCCUCCUUCCCGCGGUCCGUGCGCGCUCAUCCGUCAGCGCGGCUCCGUCCACCACGCUGCCACUCUGGGCUUCACCGGAGACAGCUGUGGUGCUCCCAACGGGUUCUUACGAGAACUCUCUCUCCCCACUUCUGGAAUACAGAAGGUCAGCUGCCUCCCCAAGACAGGCUUGGUCUGGAGGCGGGGGCCUCUUGAGCCUACCGGGCAGGCCUGAGCCAAACCACACACCCCGAGGGAUCAGCGGCCUUCUAGAGAUGCAAGGAGAUGGACUGAAGUCCCACUGUUGCCAGAGGAGGAAGAGAACCCCCAACAGCACUCUGCGCUCCCUUCUGCAGAUCUGAGGCUGCGCUGGGACACUUCACAGGCACCUCCCGGAGCAAGCAGCGAGCUGGGCUCUCGAUGAGGUCAGGAGCCUGGGCUUCAGACCAGCACCUGCAUCUCUGCUGUGGCCCCUCUCUUCACACCAGCUGUGUUGUGAUGCGCUGUUAGCUGAAAAAGGAAAACUGCUUACCCAACAGCAAGCACGUUCCAGCGAAUAGAUUUUGUAAUAUUUAGUAUCACUUAUAUUAUGAAUAUGUGUUGUACAGCUGUAUGCGUACAU